CAUGAAGACCAUAGAACAAUGGAACCCCCCGAUCCCAUCCCGAACUCAGCAGUGAAACGAUGGAUCGCCGAUGGUAGUGUGGUGUUUCCCCAUGUGAGAGUAGGUCAUCGUCAAGA
rnacentral:rRNA from 1 species